CAGCAGCCACGGUAAAACGCGUGUCACGAGCGUUAUCCGGAUUUAUUGGGCGUAAAGCGCGUCUAGGUGGUUAUAUAAGUCUGAUGUGAAAAUGCAGGGCUCAACUCUGUAUUGCGUUGGAAACUGUAUAACUAGAGUACUGGAGAGGUAAGCGGAACUACAAGUGUAGAGGUGAAAUUCGUAGAUAUUUGUAGGAAUGCCGAUGGGGAAGCCAGCUUACUGGACAGAUACUGACGCUGAAGCGCGAAAGCGUGGGUAGCAAACAGGAUUAGAUACCCGCGUAGUCCCUGUCUCUUAUACA
rnacentral:rRNA from 1 species